AGGAUCAUUAUUGAAAAGAAAAAAAAGACUGUAGCUGGCCACUAGUAGGCAUGUGCACGUCUACCUUUACAACCCCCACCUGUGCACCUGUUGUAGGUCCUCGAAAGAGGAUCUAUGUUUAUUUUACACCCUAUUGUAUGUCUAUAGAAUGUGAAAUAAAAGUUAUACAACUUUCAGCAACGGAUCUCUUGGCUCUCGCAUCGAUGAAGAACGCAGCGAAUUGCGAUAAGUAAUGUGAAUUGCAGAUUUUCAGUGAAUCAUCGAAUCUUUGAACGCACCUUGCGCUCCUUGGUAUUCCAAGGAGCAUGCCUGUUUGAGUGUCAUUAAAUUCUCAACCAAUAAUUGUAUUAUUGGCUUGGAGUUGGGGGUUUGCUGGGGAUUGUCAGCUCUCCUGAAAUGCAUUAAGCAAGACGUGCACGGCCAAAAUUGACGUGAUAAUGAUCGUCAUGGGCUGGAGCGUCAUGAAAAAUGAUUUUGACCUCAAAUCAGGUAGGACUACCCGCUGAACUUAAGCAUAUCAAUAAGCGGAGGAAAAGAAACUAACAAGGAUUCCCCUAGUAACUGCGAGUGAAGCGGGAAGAGCUCAAAUUUUGAAUCUGGUGG
rnacentral:rRNA from 1 species